GCCUUACUCUAAAAUGUAUUAAAUCGUUUUUUCCACUCAUCUACACACAAUACCCCAUAAUGACAAAGCAAAAACAGGUUGAGUGGUCAGAACGCUCGGAUCAACUUGUGCCUCUGAGAGCGAAAUGCUCUGAAUUUAUUAAAGGACAAUCUGACUCUGACUCUCCAAUACUCUGAAUUUACAAAUGCCCAGAGCACACUCUGAGUGUCCCUGGCACUCCAGAUUGAAUUUACGAGGUUAUGUGAGGUUUUAUGUGUUGUUGUUGGAGGUGCGUCUUGGUCAGUUUAGCUCAGAAAAUGCUGCCCUCCUCAAUGGCCCCCUAAUCGUGCCUAAUUAGCGGGCCGACCGUGGUUACUCAUCAUUUAACAUCUAAACAGCCCUUGCCCAAAAUGCCAGAUGGCCAGGCCACCCCUGGUGGGCAGGGCUAAAACAAUGGUAUCUGAGCCUGCGCGCUGGCCUCUGUUCGCCGAUAGACGAGACCACCUCGCUGCUUUUUUGCUACAGCUAGAACAAGUCGUAUAAUUUACUGAUAUUAAAUUAUAUCAGCAAUUUCAACCGUAACAACAAUAUUUUACAAUGGCUAGGUACAUGAGGCCCCCUAACCCAUCACUCUUCAUUAGAAACAUCUCCGACGAAUCCAGGCCAGAGGAACUACGCCGUGAAUUUGGUCGUUAUGGGCCUAUUGUAGAUGUCUACAUUCCACUUGACUUCUCUACACGGCGACCAAGAGGAUUUGCUUACAUUCAAUAUCCUUUAUACUCAUGUAAUGUAUUAAUGAACAUGUCUUUCAUUCGGUGCAUUAUUAUUAUUCACACGUGGGGUCAUAUUGACAAUGUCACACGUCUUGAGUUUGCCUACUGUUUUGAAGUAUCGUAUAUUUGUCAUAAAAGUAGGCUAUACUGGUUUAUGGGAGGGGAACAUUGAAUGUUGUUAAACACAGUAAAAUGUGUACAGACAUGAAUCAACAUCUCCUCUUCUAACUAAAAUUGCUUCUGUUACCCUAGAAAUGUUAGACGUACAGUUCUGGAGAAACCCCAACAAAGAAUGUAAAGACUGGUGUAGUGUAGUUUCAAGCCAAAGGGACCAUAAUGAUUUCAGGCAACAGGAAAUAGUGGGAGAAGAACACAAAGAGCAAAGUUAAAGCACGAAGAUACAAGGAGGCGAAAAGAGGGCACGAAGGCAGCCGUUUGUCUACCAAAGAAAGGAAAAUAAAAGGAUGUAUUGGGCGAAGACAAGCCGGAAAUCUCAAGUUCUUCUGCCAAGCAGUUAAAGAGCAUAAAGGUCAAGCUGAAGCUCAAAGGUCAAGCAUGUUAAAGGUAACAAGCUUAAUGUUUUGUAUCCUACCAAAUAGAACCCUUGCUCUUCACCUCCAGACAUUUUUGCUCUGUGUGUUCUGUGUACGAAAGGGCAAGACAAUUCUAACUUUAAUUGUAAGAAAGUUUACUGAAAUAAGAUUUCAAUGUUGCAUUUGUAUGGCCUUUGUUCUCGUUUCCUCACGAAAUUUGAACAGACGUUUCAGCUUCAUGUUUUUAAUCUUUUAGCUUACUAUUAUCCCAUGUUGGCACACAAUUGACUUAGCAAUUUGAAGCGUCCAGCCUCUUUACUGAAUUUUUUUAAUACUUUCGUAGUUGUAUGUGUGCAUACAUGUCUCCCCAUUUCCACAAGUGAAAGUAAAAAGCCUUAAGUCUGUAGCACAUUCGAGGACGUGCGAGAUGCAGAGGAUGCCCUCCACAACCUGGACCACAAGUGGGUGUGUGGUCGACAGAUCGAGAUCCAGUUUGCACAGGGUGACCGAAAAACCCCCAACCAGAUGAAGACUAAGGAGAGCUCUCCUCGCAGAGGGUCCCGCAGCAGCUCCUUCUCCCGCUAUGACGACUACGAACGCGGCGAUGGCCGACGCAGACGCUCUCGCAGUCGCAGCUAUGAAAGGCGCCGGUCACGCAGCCCUUCCUGCGACCGCCGUCCUCGGAGGUCGGAGAGCCCUAGAGACUCUCGAUCAUAUGGCAGGCACAGGCGAAGCAGAAGCCAUGAAAAUGACAGGUACAGGGGCCCUCCACGUGAACACCACAGGAUGCACCACGCACCCCCGUCUCGUAACCGCUCCGCAUCCCGCUCCCCCUCUCCUCCCAGAUCCAGGCCCAAAGACACAAAGUCUCAGUCCAAAUCCCCCAGCCCCGUCAAGGACUUCCACCCCUCUUCUGGCUCCCAGAAACAGGCCUGUCGACGCUCCUACUCCAGAUCUGUGUCCCGAUCUCGCUCCAGAUCCUAGGACCCCACCACCUUCAAACCCUGUUAUUCUGUAGCUAAAGGUGUUUUUGUUCAACACUACAACAUAUGAAUAUGGUAUCUAGGGAGUGGUUAUUACACACCCCACCUCGGUUCAUUAGUUGAGUUAACAUGAUAUCUCUGGGCUGAUGCCAUACAACAGGAGAGCUGGUUGUCCCUACAGAUGGAUAGUACUUUUUUAUGUUAGUUCAGUUUCAUUCACCUCUGAAAAACAUUGGCUGUCUUCAAUUUACAUUCAUAUCGGUUUAAUUCUAUUAAUUGAGAACCCAAUGGAUUUAAGUUCAGCACAUAAGAAUUGGUCAACUAUGAAAUGCAAAUGUACAGUUUUGGGCUAACGGGUAUUAACCUCUGGCUACAGAAGAGGUUAAGAGUCCAAAAACCCAUUUAUAAGAAAAGAGAAGUUAUAAAUCUGGAGUUAGCAGCGAUAUCUAGCCAUCAAGUUAACUGCUAUUAUUUUUGUACAUUUGAUGUUGCUAAAAUCUCCUGCAUUUAUUUUUUUUGUUGAUCAAUUGUUAUUUUUUGUGUUCAAAUCGAGCAGCAGUGUUUUCUUUUUGUGGAUUAAAAAUGUUAUGUUUUAACUUUUCUAAUCAUCCGAGUUGUACAAAGAUGUCGCUCCCUUGAAAGUAUGAGACACCGGACAGUUUGUUAGGGACACCUAUCCAUUACUGUGUUGCCCCACCCCCCCCUUCCCCUCCAGAACAGCCAGUAUUCUUCGGGCCGUUCUACAAGGUGUCAGUAGUGUUCCACAGGGAUUUUGGACCUUGCUGGUGCAAUGGCAUCUCGCAGAUUGGAGACAUCACGCAAACAUUCAUGCUGCGAACAGCCCGUUCAAUCUCAUCCCAAAGAUGCUCUAAGUAAAAUGAACUCGCUGUCAUGUUCCAGGUGCUGUUUUUCCACUCAGUUGUCCAGUGUUGGUGAUCGUGUGCCCACUGGAGGCGCUUCUUCUUCUUGUUUUUAACUUAUAGGAGUGGAACCCGGUGUGGUUGUCUGCUGUAUAGCCCAUCAGUGACAAGCAUCAACAAGUUGUGCAUUCUGAGAUUCCGUUCUCCGUCGAUUAGGUUACUCGUUUUGUCCAUCCUAACGUUCAAUUUAACAAUGUCUCGAUGCAUGCUUUAUAUAGCAAGCCACGGUUUGUAGGAGCGAUCAAUUUUUUGGGUGAGCUGGGUGGUUUACCAAAUAAAAGUAUUGUUGGAUAGGUUUAAUUCUGUCUGACUUCUUACCUGUAAAGUUUUAAAAUGUACCCUAUUGGUAAUAUUUUUUUGUGUAAUAUACACUACAUGACCAAAAGUAUGUGGCCAUCUGCUCUUCGAACAUCUCAUUCCAAAAUCAUGGUCAUUAAUAUGGAGUUGGUACCCCCCCUUUGCUGCUAUAACAGCCUCCACUCUUCAGAGAAGACUUUCCACUAGAUUUUGGAAGAUUGCUGCAGGGACUUCAAUUCAGCCAUGUGCAUUAGUGAGGUUGGGUGAUUAGGUCUGGCUCGCAUUCGGCGUUCCAAUUAAUCUCAAAGGUUUUUGAUGGGGUUGAGGCCAGGGCUCGUGCAGCCCAGUCAAAUUCUUCCACACAGAUCUCGACAAACCGUUUCUCUAUGGAUCUCGCUUUGUGCAUGGGGGCAUUGUCAUGCUGAAACAAGAAAGGGCCUUCCCCAAACUGUUGCCACAAAGUUGGAAGCACAGAAUCAUCUAGAAUGUCAUUGUAUGCUGUAGUGUUAAGAUUUCCCUUCACUGGAGUUAAGGGGGCCUAGCUGGAACCAUUAUUCCUCCUCCACCAAACCUUACAGUUGGCGCUA
rnacentral:lncRNA from 1 species